CCCUUUGUGUCUUUAACUAGAAAUCGGGUGAGGAGCUCGGGAGCGCUCGACAAUGGAUUUUGAAGAACAGUUUCAGACGAUGGUGUGGGAGUUCAGAGAGCCUCUAAGGAGCCGGGGGAUUUAUUUAAAAAGGGAUUCCCAAGAAGAGCUGUGCUGGAGUCUCUCGGGAGGGCACGGAUGAGGGAAGACUGUAGCUGCCUUCUAGAACGAACUUGAAAAGAGAAUUUAGACCUUUCCUGGAAACAAAGAGGCGAUGGUUUGGAUAAACCUAUGCAUUAUUAACCAGAAGUACCUGGCGAGGCUAGUUUAGGUUUCUUCAGGCGAGGGGCCUGAAGAAUAGGAGACUUGAAGAGUUCAAAAGGUUUGUGCUGGGCAGCAGCGUAAAAAUGUCACAGCCGUGGCUUCUAAGAUGGGUUUUCCCUGUGUCUCAGAUGUCCACCAUGCCCCAUCUCCCAGUGACACUCUGGGACGUGGCUGCAUCUGGCCAGAGUCUUCACCUUGGCACCUUGGCACCUAUAGCAAGAUCUGAAAGAUACAGGAGUCAGGCACUUGGUGCUUUAGGUUUUAAAAUAUCUAAGAUACUUGCUACCCCAUUUGGCAGGUAAAUGGAGGCACCGUGGCCAUGAUGAGCACACCCAGGUAGUGAAUGUGAACCCAGGCAGGCUACUUUUAGAUUUCAUGUGUGAAGUUAGGACGCCCAGUAACCUCCAUCACUCAGGAAGCUGGCCAGUCGGAAGGACCAUCUGGUUCAGGAAAAGACUUUCAAUUUUCUUUUUAAAAUUUAUUUCAUGUUCAUUUUUAUGAAAUUUUAAAUUCAUCACUAAAUCAAAUCCUGUAAGGAUUUUCUUAGAGGCACGACACGAACCGAGUUAUGGAUAAAUUAUUUGUAACUGUAGACUGUUCUUUCCUAUUGUAAAUGUUUAGGAUUACUCAAGUCCUUUUGGAAGUUUCUAUCUUUUCUCUGAAAUGGUUUCCACUCAUUGAUUUAGCAAACUGUUGCACAACUAGGCCAAAGGCACACAUUGGUCUCAUAUCUUCCUGACCUAUCACACAUUUCUGGUUAGUGGAUUUGCAAUGAAUUUUAGGUUUGGUUUAAGUUAUUUCACUGGCAUUUUCUUUAUUUCUUUUUCCCCUUUGGUGUUUUUUCCCCAUUUUUGAAAAGUGGGCUCUAGCUUCCUUGACACACGAAGAGGGACCCAUACUAAUCUGUAAAACCGAUUAGGAGUCAACUGUUCAGUUCAGGUGGAGGAAUGCUAAUCUCAACCCCCAGGCAAGUCAGGAAAACAAAUUGUUCAUGUUUCCCUGUUUCCCCACAACCUAAACUGCUGCCUGGAAAAGGUGGUGAUUGGAUUAUAAUCUCAUUUGCAACCCGUUGGUUGCAUAAGUAGCUCACUUACAUAACUGGGAGAAAUUGCACUUUUCUUUCAGAUUUUUUUUUUCUUUCACGUGCAGAACUAGAUUUGUUUGUUUUUUUUUUACUGAGAAGACAGGGUCUCACUAUGUAGCUCUCUUUGGACUUGAUCUUGCUAUGUAGACCAAACUGGUCUUGAAAUCAUAGAGACAUGUCUCUGCCUCUGAGGGCUGGGAUUAAAGAAGGGUGUCACCACACCCAGCCAGAUUUUUAUGUGCCUUCAGAACAGGAGGUGGACUGGCUGGGAGAAGAAAGGGGACCAAUGAGGGAGAAAGAGAGGUAGGGAGCCACCAUGGGGAGCAGAUGGGUGAAGAUGAACAAAGCACAGUGAUACCGGUUUAUGAAAAUGUCGCAGUGGAACAUUCUUGGUGUAUUAAAAAAUGCUUAUAAUGGGAUUGACUGUAAAUGGUAGUUCAAACUCUCUAGGUAGGUAAAUAGUAUCUAUUUUUCUGAUUAAGACUGACGGGAUUGGCAGAGGCAGGUGGACCUCUUUGAGUUGGAGGCCAGUCUGAUCUGCAAAGGAAGUUCCAGGACAUUUACAAAAGUCAGUAUUUUACACAAGCAAAAAAAUGUUUCAUGACCUUCUUUUCCAGAAAGUGACCUCCUCCUUUCCCUCAUAGUCCUAACCCCACAUAAGGUACAAAACCAACUGAUGUAAUGGGCAGGGCAACUAUGAACAAGGACCAUGAUACACAAAUAUGAUAAUGUAUAUGAGUCCCAAGAAGUACCUUAAAACUAUCAAAACAAGAAGAAACAGAUUGUACUACAGAAGGAAAGUGGCAUUCAUGAAAGUUCUCUGCUGUAAAAUCUGGACAGCUGUCUUUGUUAUAUUCUGAUAGAGCUAUAUAGAGAGUUAGGUGUGCGUGUGUGUGUGUGUGUGUGUGUGUGUGUGUGUUAACUUAUAUGUUUUAAUUAUCUAAACAGUGAAGCCAUGCUAUUUUCCUUAACUACUAACAAUCAAUAGGGGUUCUGUAAUUCUUAAAAUUGAAAUAUGAGACAAAAGGACAGUUUUCCUAUUCAUUAUGAAACCAUAUUUCCACGUCCUGCAUGAGCUGGGUUUUGUGCUUGGCCUCAGGUAAUCUAACUGCUUCUCGUGAGCGAGAAGCAUGCUCACACCCCUGGGCUCGGCAAUGCAAGUAGAAGCAAUAAAUAGUCUGGCUGCCACAGCAAUAGGUGGGCUGUAAAUGAGGCAUCUCAAGGGAACCGGGUUCUUUGCAGUGUCCCUGAAAUCACGAGGAGUGACACUGGAAAGCCAAUGCUGGCAUUGAGAGGUAGAAACCAAUUUUUUAAAAAGUGGCUUAAAUGGGUGCAAAUAAAGAAACUGCAUUGGGUUGCUCUUCGUCUUGGGAAUGGAGCUAUCUCUACCAGGUGCAGCAAAGCAGAUGAGUUCUUCUAAUAUGAUUUUUUUUUUUUUGGUCGUGUGUCUUUCUGUUGGAAUAAAUGAAACAACAAAAAAUUCUUCAGCAAAUUCAACCUGCAGAAAAGCAAGCCCUUUUAUGAUAUGCCUAUUUUCAGAGAGAUUUUUCUUCUGUUCUGGGCUUUAAACCCAAGGCCUUACCUAUGCUAGGCACGUGUUCUACUGUGGAACUACAUUUUCAGCCCUUUUAGACUUUUUAUUUUAAGACAUAGAGUCUUAAUUGCUCAGGCUGUCUUUGGGCUCACCGUAAGCCUCAGGCAUGACUUGAACUCUCUGUCCUCCUGCUACAGCCUCCAGAAUAGCUGGAAUUUCAGGCCUACAUCCCCAGGACGGGGAGAAAUAAUGCUUCGUUUCAUUGUAGUUUCUCCCAGUUCUGCCCUUUGGGUUUCCUGUCCAGAGCUUGUUUUAUCGUCUUUCUGCAGAGGCCUCAUAUUUAUUUAUUGCAUUGAACCCCAUUCCAAGUUACCCUCUUAGGAGGAGUCUACUGUUGACUAUCUUUUGCUUUUGGUACGGCCUGUUGGAUGCCUGCCGUUUACUUGAGAAACAGGCAAGUGUGGAACGUAGAUUACCAAGUUCCUCAUUUAUCUACAGGUUUUCUUAAAACACGCUGCCGCGCGCAUGGUAAGCACCCCCCGCCCAACACAUCACAACUAGGGAAUGUUUUCUAUUUUACGUAACCAUGAGUUUAAGGUUAAGACUUAGAUUCUCAGAGUAGGGAUACUAUUACAUGCUUACAGCCAUGUGGACUGACUUUCCUUCCACGGUCACUGUUUUCUGUUUUCUGCUCAUAUGCUAUAUUCAGCGGUGGAAGCUGUGUCUGUGCCUCUGAUUCGAAGAACACCCUCUGCAAGGUGAUGAAUAUAUCUUCCCCUUUUUGAGGUAGAGGAUGAGGCAGGCUCAGAGGAGUGAAGCAGCCAGGUGGGGGAGCUGGAAUGGAUUCUUAAUCAGCCCCAGCCCCUCACUCAUGCCUCUAUAAGACAAUGAGAAGCUGCCGCAUGCUUAGCCUUGAACAUUGUGGCAAAGUGGCUUAACCUCUUCCAUCUGAAUUUUUUUCAUUAUUGUUAUUGGAAAGCCUUGUUAAUAAUUAAGUAAGCGCAACACCAGUGCAGCUGGGCCUGAAGGUCAACUGUAAGCGUUAUUGAAUAUGGAUACACAUUUGAUCUGGCUGGAGAGUCCCCAAAAAGAAUGAUGCCAGAGAAAGCAUGUGUGAUGUGAAGGCUGAAUACUGACUGGGAACCUUCAAUAGAAAGAGCAUCUUCCAGUAAAUGAAUGUUCAUUCCAGGGAUUGGCUGGACCCUGCAGCGCCAAGAGAGGCAAGCGGAAGACUGUGAUCUCAUAGGUGAACCGUACAUUUAGCAUAAUGUAAUUUAUUAUAGCAGUUGAGGGAUGUAGGAGGAAAAGGAUUCAGCUGAACUACCAUUGUAUGCCUAACAUCAAGAGGAAAGCCUGUCAGUUACCAGGCUGUUUGGGAUUCAAACCUAGUAUCAGUACCAUUCACUUUUAAAACACAAUACAGUCCUUGUUGUGGCUUCAGUGUCUGUCAUAUCUGUGAGUAUAAUUACCUAGAUGCCACUCACCAAACUAAGAGAAGCAUAUCAUACACACUCUGCGUGUAUUCAUCUUGUGCCCCAAGUGCAAACCACAAGCAUUUGGGGUCACCUUGAGGCUCCUCUGCACGCUUAAGCCAUUUCUACACAGUGAACAAGACUUUUUUUUUUCUUUCUAGGAAUCUACUUUUUCUCAUAAUCACUGACUAGUCUGUGUCCUUGGAGCCAUGAUCUCUGUCUGUCUCUUUUUCUCUCUCUGGGAAGUCUAUGAUCAAAUGCAUGCUAGAGGGUUUUAGUGUGUGUGUGUGUGUGUGUGUGUGUGUGUGUGUGUGUGCACUGCUGUUUGUUAGUUGCUGGUUUGGAACUUUUGCCUUCCCGCCUUACCUCCUGCCUCUACCUCCCAACUGCUGGAGUUACAAGUGCUCACCACUGUCGCAACAGGUGAAUUUUGUCUUGUUACAGUCUCUGGGGGAGGGGCAGGCUUUUAUGUAGCUCAAGCUGACUUCUAACUCACCAUGUAGCUGAGGAGAUCUUUGAACUCUUGAUCCUCUUGCCUCUACCUUCCGACUGUCGGGGUCACACAGAUACGUUGGUGUCACCACAUCCAACUAUUGUGUUGCAUUUUUGAUCCCUGCCUUGGCCUUCUGGCUUCUCCCCAUCCCUCCUUCCUUCCCACUUCUCUUUCUCCCUUCACCAAGUCUCAACUCUAGCUGCCCCUCUUGUUCACACACUUAAUUUCCGGUCUAGAGACACUUCUGAGUGCUGGGAUGGAUUAUUUGCUGGGUCCAUGUUGAGCAUUUGGAGACAGCUCCCAGGCACUGAUAAGUAUCGUUGUGUUCAAAGCCAGUAGAAGGAAAUCGGGGUGUGGAAGAGCAGAGAAAUAGAACACAGUGUAGUGAAAACAGAAUCCAUCUUGUUUUUAUCUGUAGGGAAAUGGCUCCAUCAUGUAUUUUGUUUGUUCGUUCCUUUUUUUUUAGAUGGUUUCUCCAUGUAGUGCUGGCUGUCUUGGAACUCAGCCUGUAGACCAGGCUGGCCUUGAACUCACAGAGAUCCUCCUGCCUCUGCCUCCCGAGUGCUAGGACUAAAGGUGUGUGCUACCAUCGCUCAGUGACUCCACUGUGUUUUAAUACAACCAUCUGAUGAUGACUUCAGCUGUUUUAAAAUCAGAAAAAAUUUCAGUACCAACCUAAGUACCAUUAGGCCCUGGAUCUUUUCUAAAUGAUGUGCUAAAGGGGCUGGAGGGGUGGCCUAAGGGCUGGAGUUCGGUCCCUGAAAACCCACAUGGCAGAAGGAGAGAACUGCCUCCUGCAGCUGUCCUCUGAGCUCCACAUGUGUGCCAUGGCACACAACCACCAAGUGCCAAAAUAAACAAAUCUUAGUAACACAGCAAACUGCACCCAUCUCCAUCUCUAACUUUGUGGGAUUAAGGCGGAGGUGAGGGUCUGAACCACCAAUUCAGAACCUCUGAGUUCUGAAUUGUCCAUACUCGCUCAUCCCUGAGAGAACUGCCAGUCCUGGGGAGUGGCCCCCUCCUCCUAGCGUCUGCCCACCUGUUUUGUACACGCACCACCGGUCUCACUCGAAAUUAACAAGUAGAUCCGGAAGCUGGCAAGCGGGCCUUCCUUUCCUACUUGACAUAGCAUGAAUGGCCAUCUGUGCAUUUUUCAGGCUUCCUAAUUACAUGAAUCUUGUUUAUGGAGGAUGGUUGGGAGGAACAAGUUGGGAAUAGAAUGGCUCCGUGGGCUCCCAUCCUGUCCUAUAUCUCCAGCUCUAGAGUGCACUGGAAACUUUGAGUGAGCAUUUCAGGCAAGAUCCUCAGCAAUGGACACUCUUUAGAGCCACUUAGGGGAGGCCGAGGAUUGCAGGGCUGGUCGAUGUAAGCAGCGCAGUGCAUUAUGUUCUCAAGUUACUCUUCAGUCUCCACUACCCAAAUAGUUUGAGGUGGGGACAUCAAAACUACCUAUGCAUUAAAAGUUUUUAAAAUUUAUUCUUUGAGUGUUUUGCUUGCAUACAUGUCUAUGUACCUGGUGCGCCUGGUGUCUGAGGGGCUCCCAGAGGCCAUCAGAUCCCCUGGAGACUGCAGUUACGCAUGGCUGUGAGCUGCCAUGUAGGUGCUGGGAAUCAAACCCACAUCCUCUGCAAGAGCAAGUGCUCCUGCCUUCCCAGGUGAGUCUCCAGCCCCAUGGUAUUUGAAACAAACAGAAACAAAGUGGAAAUCAAGUCUCGUAUAAAGAAAGGAAUUCUCGUGAAAAAGAAGAGUGAGAAAUACCCGCUUUACUUGUUUUCGUAAUUAAGAACAUUAAAUGCACGAAUGUUGUGCUGUUUUUACACUCCACAAGUUGUCUUUGCUGUGGCGAGUGUCUCGCUGUGGGGAGGCUAGUGUUAAGUAUAGACACUAACAAUGAAGGGCCAAGGAGGAGAACAUUUCUCUCUGUGGAUCGAAUGUGGAAAUGGCCAGCAGCGAGUUUCCGUAGCACAUGUUACUGUCAAUGAAGCUGAUAGGAUUUUCACAUCCGGGGCUGCCUGUCUGUUGAAGGUGUCCCAGAGAUGGGUAAUGGAGAGGGAACCCAGUGUGUGUGGGGGGGCAGCCUUUGAAUUCUAUCCCGUGUAGUUGGUAGGGCUUGGUUUGAGAGCACCAAGGAGUUUUGAAAGACUGAGAUGGCUAAUCUCCACCCCCCCACCCCGUGUGUAUUGCUAGGAAGGGCUCCCUGUGGCUGUGCCCAGGCUGUGUCCUGCCCAGUAGCCCAUCUGAGAAGAGGAGGGCUGAUAUAGAGGCCCGCCACCAGGCCCCGAGGCAUAUGCUCUCUGCCCUUGAGAGGACUGGUCUUUUUCCUAGUUCACUGGUAGGCUGUGAGCUACGCCAGGACCCUUGCCCUUGGGGUCCUCAUUCUGCUCACAUGCCUUUCUUCUGGUCUCCCCCAUUCAGUUCUCCAAUUAGCAUCACCCAUGCUUUCAGUAUGGGGUGUGAGAUGUUUUUGUUCAUUUUGUUUCUCCCCUGAUGAACUAUAAGAUCUGUAAAGGCAGGAGCUCACCUCGUUGGUCUUUCGCCAGUGCCUGGCGCAUACUAGGGAAACGAUGAACACCCGUGUAAUGAUUAAAAAGCUCUCCCACAGGCUGGUAAGAUGGCUCAGAAGAUCAAGGUGCUUGCCGCCAAGUUUAACAACCUGAGUUUGGUUCCCAGGUGCCUCAUGUGUACACACGUGCACACGCAAAAUGAAAUGCAAUUAUUGAAGGUUCUUCUAAAUGCUUCCUAGGCCUGGGCUCAGCUCGGAGUAUUUGUAUUGACCGUGACCUGGCAUAGACUCCACAACCCAGACCUGCUGAACCAAAAAUAGAAAACACAAAAGCUGUUGGCUGUGAACCUCAGAGACUAGGGCAGUGGUUUCUACUCUUCACCAUUAAUCACUUGGGGUCCUUAAAAAAAAAAAAGAAAAAGUGCAUGCUGUACUCAGGGAGGCAGAGGCAGGCGGAUCUCUGUGAGUUCAAAGUGAGCCUGGUCUACAAAGCAAAUCCAGGACAGCCAGGGCUACAUAGAGAAACCCUGUCUUGGGGGAAAAAAAAGCAACAAAAAAACCCCACACAAACAGGAGACACAGGCCACACCUUCCACCCCCACUGAGCUAAGCUAGGAUAAGGCGGUUGACUUGCUAGACUGGUGAUCUAUCUGGAGAGAGAUGACACAGAACAUAGGCCAUUUUGGUAGAAGGAGGCUCGGGGUUUUUAAUUUGAAUUUUAAAGGUCAAUUCGAACAAAGCAGUUUGUAUCAAAGGGAAUUCUUGAAAUCUCGUCUAUUAAUAGCAUCAUUUAGCACUCCCGCCGCUCAGCGGACUCUCACUGAAUUUUCACCUUUCCAGAAAUACAAUAAAUGUCAGUGCAUACACAGUGUCGUAUGAAAAAGCUACACUCUGCCUUUGGCCUGAGCUUUCAGCACUCACAGAUCCUCCUGGAGGGAGCUGGUAGGAGUUCCACAGGAGCCUCUUAAGACUACUGUGCGCAGCAGCUGGGCCCUCAUAAAGCUCAGCCAGACCCAUGCAGACACAGAAGAACUUCGGCUUACGUGGAAGCCGUGUCCACUCCUCGCACUGACAGAAGGGGUGGCCUGCUACAGGAAUGCACACAUGGCCCAGCGGCAAAGCCCCCGGCAAAGGCGCAGAGGGAGCAGCCAGGCCUCGGUUGCAAGCAGGUUAACGGACGUACUUUCACCAGGGGCCACGUGACCUGGCAGCCUCCCGCGGAGCAACAAUGUUAAGGGUAACUCUAGCUUUCGUCAAGUUGACAUAAAACGAGCCAGGACUAGGUGUCAGGCCACAGAACCUGGAAGAGCUGGAGGGAUUCCCUGAUGUGUGGGACCUCUGGGGAUCCUGGAUUCACAGCAGUGUGUUCCUGAAGGCUGAGGCAGGGCCCAUGUUAAAGGCAGAGGGGAGAUGCCUGCUGCCUGAGCUAAUUCAUGCUGGCCUCUGCCCUAGAGAGAGGGCAGAGAGGAAAUACAGCUUCUCCUUGCUUAAAAGAAAAACAUUCCGUAAAGGAGUUGUCAAGCGGAGCAGAGUUGGACUGCAUUAUAGAUUAUAACAUCAUAAGAUCCUUCUGUGAUUAACAACAACCAAACUCAUGAUCUCUGCAGCUAUCCACGGAGACGGCUCUUCGUUCACCUGCUGUGCUUUGUUUCGGUGAGUGGCGAUUUCUGUACCGUGCUGUCUACACGCCAUCGGUCCGCAAGCUCCUCGGGCAGGCACCAGCCUAGCACAUCACCGUGUUCCAGCCACCCUGUACCGCACAUCACAGGAGCCCAAUAUAGGUCAAGUUCACAAAUGAAAAUGAACAUGCUCCUAGAAAUAGAAAAUUUCCCGCAAAUGAGACAACUCGGUUCUGCAAAAGGAUUUCCAAGUAUAGCUUUUUAGAAAGCAUUCCCCAGUGACAAUCCAAAAGACUGUUAAGAUGAUAUCAUGCAAGAACAACAACAAAAAAGAAUCCUUAAUUCAGGAAAUUCUCUUAUGAAACAAAACUUAAUCAGUAUUUUUUUUUUCUGGUAAGUCCCAGGAUUGUUUUGAAUUCUGUUGGUGCCCUUGUCGGGCUGAGGGAAGGAGACCUGAUGAGUCAGCAUGCAUCCUGCGCUAUCAUAAAUGAUUUACAUGCAUUAUUCAUCAGACAGCAUGCAGGGCUCCACCCAUUCUUACUUUUCACUUUCAGCACAGUGUUUCACAAAUUCUCAAAGAACACAGAAAAAAAAAAAAAAGUCAAAAACAUGAAUAGGAGUUUCCCACCUCCAGUUCUGUUCUGUGUAGCUGCUGGUUUUCUUGAUAUGUCAUUUGUGUAUCUGGCCCUUUCCCAUUCUUAUUCUUUCAGUAUAUAUUUUUGGUUUCAUUGCUCUGUCUUGGAGUUAUAUUCUCCUAUCCUUUGCUGCCAGUUUUUAGCACUACUGGAUUACAUUUGCUUGUUUUAUUUAAAAUUGCUUAUAUAUGUUUUCUUAGACACUGUUCUGUAAUUUUUGUGAUGUAUAUUUUGUAGCAGAUUUCUGUAACAUUUAGGACAUGGUGAAAUCAUACAGUGGACUAGAAAAAAAAAAAAAAAGGCUUAACCUUCCCAAGGUCAGAAUGGCUGAUGUGCACAGAGGACCACACAAAUACAUGUUUCACAACGGUGUCCAUCGCAAUGGAUACACAACAGUGUCCACAAUGUUGGCGUAAAGUUAAAGGCAAAAGUUAUGUGAUUAUGACACUAGAUUUUAAAAAAAUAGUAAUUAUCUGGGUGUGGCAGCACAGGCCUGUAACCCUGGCACUAGAGAGCCAGGGAGAGCCAGGAGGAGGAGUCCAAAUCUGAGGCCAGCCUGGUUCACAUGUUCCAGGACAGCCAGACCUCUACCGAGAGGCAUCUCCUUAAAAGAACCCAAGUCAGCUAAACAACAAAAACCCAACUAAGAUGUAGUUGCCCCUUUCUUCAUGAAGGAGAUUGAAACUAGGGCAUUUUGAAUGCCAGGCAAGUGCUCUAUCAUUGAACUGCAAACCCAACCCAUUAAUAAUAAUAAAUUCUAAGAACAAUGGGAGCACAGGGAAGCCAUCUAAAGCCACCAAUGACGAUGGCUUACAAUCGGCAGCAUCAGUCUACCGAGUGAAAAAGUAAGGCUGCUGCCAAGCUGAUCAGAGACAAGUGGCGAUGCUGUACCCGUCUAUUGUGCAAUAUGACAGAUGGUUUUAAAGAAAGUCUAAGAGAUAGAAAAGGGAGCAAGCCUUUGUAGUGUACUUUUUAAAAGAGAGACUCAGUUAAAGACAUCCAUGAGCAGGUUAUGGUGACACAGGCCUAUGAUCUGAGGUGCAAAGACAGGAAGACUGGGGUUUUGAGGCCAACUUGGGCUAUGCAAUGAGUUCUAGGCCAGCCUGGGCUACACAGCAAAACCCUGUUUCGAAAACAAAAGCAAAAACAUAGGCAAAUCAUCAGCUUUACUUCUGUGUUUACAUGUGUGAGCGUAUUCUAUUCACAAAAUUAUAAGAUAACAGAAAAUUCAAACAAGGGGGCAAGGAAUUAGAGAAUCAUCUAACAUUUUAUCGAAUUUAAAUAAGUGGAUAUUAUACCACGUGACUGAACAGAUAGAUUGGCGUAUAAAUCUCAAUUCUUAACAAAUUCAGGUGCACCUAAUGCAAUCCAAAUCAAAAGGCGCCCGCUUGCUUUCUUUGGAGAUGGACAAGCGAUUUGAAUGUUUGCACAGAAUAAAUGUCCAAAAGUUUGUUAGUUUUUGGAGAAGUGGUCUUGGACAUGCCUUACCAAAGAGGAGACAAAGCUUUCCAUGAAGCUACAAAACAGAAACAGCCUUGUUGUGGCAUGACUGCAAUGGAAUCCAGAGAAAACCGACCGCAUUCAAGAACUUGAAAUUUGGGGGUUGGGGAUGUAGCUCCCCUCUUGUAGUUUGUAUGAUGCCCUGUGAUCCUCAGUGCCACACACACACACACACCACAGACACACAGGCACAGGCACACACAGGCUCACGUGAUGGAAUGUGUGCUUCCGUUGAAUGGAAAAGGAUAGAUGUUUAAUUAGCUCUUCAUCUGGAUAUUUAAGGAGAUAAAAAGUCCAGUGUGAGAUUUGCUCAGCUUAAGUCUCAAUUCUUAGUUUUAGAAGCUACAUGAACUUGAAUGAUCCCUUAAAUUCUACAGUCCACAGUUUUAUCUAGGUGAACUUUAUACCGUAUUUUUUGUCAGAAUGCCUAGCAUGUAGAAAUUUAGCAGAAAAUGUGAAUUGUUAUGAUUGCAUGUAUUAUUUCACACUGAUAAAAACAAAUCCCAAGUAGAUUAGAAAUAUAAGUGCAAGAAUAACAAGAAAAAUGUAGAGGAGCAUUUAUUUAAAAAAAAAAAUCUCAGGACAAGAAAGCAUCAGGCAUAAAAAGAGAAGUACAAUACAAUAGCACAAGCCCUGAGUAGAGAACAGAAAAUAGAUGAUCCUCAGUAUUGCUUCUGGAGCACCCAGAAAUGCUACACCAGCAGAUACAUUAAAGUGACGUUUAUACAGACAUUUUGAUUCAGAAGUCUUACUUUUGAAAAGUCUUGCUUCCAAAAUAAAAAUGUCAAUAUAAAGGACAUAGAUGUUUGAGGAAAUUUGUUGUGCUGUUUGUUUGUUUGUUUGUUUUGGUAGAUUACAUCCUUGGAGAGAGG